rnacentral:rRNA from 1 species
AUGAACGCUGGCGGCGUGCCUAAUACAUGCAAGUCGAGCGAACAGACGAGGAGCUUGCUCCUCUGACGUUAGCGGCGGACGGGUGAGUAACACGUGGAUAACCUACCUAUAAGACUGGGAUAACUUCGGGGAAACCGAAGCUAAUACCGGAUAAUAUAUUGAACCGCAUGGUUCAAUAGUGAAAGACGGUUUUGCUGUCACUUAUAGAUGGAUCCGCGCCGCAUUAGCUAGUUGGUAAGGUAACGGCUUACCAAGGCAACGAUGCGUAGCCGACCUGAGAGGGUGAUCGGCCACACUGGAACUGAGACACGGUCCAGACUCCUACGGGAGGCAGCAGUAGGGAAUCUUCCGCAAUGGGCGAAAGCCUGACGGAGCAACGCCGCGUGAGUGAUGAAGGUCUUCGGAUCGUAAAACUCUGUUAUUAGGGAAGAACAAAUGUGUAAGUAACUAUGCACGUCUUGACGGUACCUAAUCAGAAAGCCACGGCUAACCACGUG